CAGCCGCGAGGGAAGAAAGGGGGCGGCCGGGUCCCCGCCUCGAAACAGCCUGGCUGCCUGAUCCCCCCAAAAGGAGACUGGCAGGUGGGACGGAAGGCGCCGAGAAGAAACCGUCCCCAGCGGGAGGAAAAAAGAUUUAUUUACAGCCCUGCAGCUCGCAGAUCCGGCCAGCUCGUCUUCACGCUCAAUUUCUGCCCCUGGAGAAGUGGGGAAUGAAUGGUAGAAGAAGUGAUGAUGAGUACCGUAGUUUCUGUUGGUUGAAGGGAAAGGAGGAAUGGAAGAGGAGACGAGAAAAAGCCGAAAGAGAGAGAGAGAGAGAGAGAGAGAACUUGGAAGUGCUAGAAGCAAAAGGAGCACAAUGGGAAAAACCUGGUUAGAGACUUGGAGGUAUGUAUCAUUUAUUUUCUCUGUACAAUCCAGGCAGCUCGUUGCAUUAUUCUGCACUAAUGAAGAAUUUGACGUGCUGAAUAAACGUAAUAUUCGCUAUUAACUUUUUUGGAUAGGGAUCGCUGCCAAUGUAGGUCAGGGGAAGGAUGCCUGGAGCCUCUAGAUGUUUUGGCCUCAAGUUUCCAUAAAUCCUAACUAGAGUAUUGCAUAAUUUUGAAAAUUGUUACCCAAAAUAUCUGGAGGGCAUCAGAUUGUUACCACAGUUUUAGAUUUAUACACCACAAGGAGUCAAGGGAAAUUGGCACAAGGAGUAGCUUGGAAAUGAAGGAGGUGAAAAGUCAAUAAGAUCAUUGUGGAAAGCAAUGGUUCUUGCCAAAAGAAAUAAUAGUGGUAAGAGAGUGAAGUCUGAUUUUUACAGAAUUAAAGAGCAUCAUAAAGUAGUUGUGCUACUCCCAGAAAAUGAAAAAAAGUAAAGAAAAAGAAGACUUUUAGUUAAGUGAUAUUUAACAUUUGGUUCUUCAUUUUUGUAAAAAGUAAAUCACACUGUGUGACUGUACCAAUUACAUUGCAAUAAUAUUUUGUUUAAACAUAAUAUGGGGUUAAAUUCAUAAGCCACGUGAUGGCAUAUACAUGAUUUGCAUGCACAAUAUGUACAAUCACAUGCAAGAAAAUUAUACUUACGUAGUUGGAGAAUAGCCAUGUUAAUCUAUAGACAAACAUAUAAUAGUCAAAAACACUCUAUUAAAAGACGUAAGCUUCCAUAAGCUUAGUGUGUGAAAAUAGUUGGUGUCUGUAGAGUUCUUAGUGAAUAAGAUGGUUAAACUGUUUUUAUAAAUAAUGAUAUAUACUUAACAUUGACAUCCAGUGUAAUGAUUAUACAUUUUCAAUAAAUAUAGAUGAAACAAAAAUAUAGUACACGUAGCAGGAAUUGAGGGUAAUUUUCAAGUAAUUCACAUUCAUAUUUAGAAAAUCUCAUGUAUUCUCUACUGUGAUACCAUUCUCAAGUCUCUAAAUAUACAUUGUAGAAGAAAUAGAGGAUUUCACAUUGCUAGGCUACAUGAAGUUCAGAAAAUUAUUUGGUUAAUGUUUUAACUUAUAUUCAAUAUUUAUUGCAGUAUGUUAUAACAGUUGCCAUCACAACAUGGGUACCAUGUAUAAUCUAUAUAGGUUUUCAAUAGCUUGGCAGCAGAUUUGUUCCUGUAAUUUAGAACUGUUGCUUGCCAUAAUUUAGAACCGGAAUGGGCAAAUCAUUUUCCCAAGGUGUCAUGUGAGAAACUGGAAUUGUUAUGGAGGGUUGACGUUCCCCGUCCCCCUACUACAGCUCCCGCCAGUGCUGCAAACUGGACAGGGACAGUCUAAGGGCCAGAUGUAGCCUACAGGCCAUAAAAUGCCUAGGUCUGGUUUAAAAUAUGGGCCUAGGGAAUAACUGAUAUAACUUAAUAUCAAGACUCAAUAAUUUUUUCCUGACUGGGCUACAAAUGUGAUUCUCUCUUUCAUUUCCAUCUGGCCUCAUUGUAUAUCUCAUUAGUGGAACUUGCUGCAAAAUGAAAAAUCCAUUAUUCCAAUUAUGAAUAAUUAUUUAAAAAUUUAUCUACAUUUUCUCCUUUAAAACACUAUAACCAGCGCAAAUUCGGAAAGUUAUAGGAGCAAAAUACUUUCACCUCACCCUCAAAUUUGGAAUUUUUGAAAAGAUAUGUUUCCACAAAAAAUUCAGGCAAUCCUUAUUUUUAAAAUUCUUCUCUUGGAAAACAUACUUGCUCCAUCUUGUGGUCAUUUGUUUUCUUACCAGAAAUAUUUCAACCUUCUAGUGCUGGUUAUUUCAAAUUAUGAGCUGAAAUCAUUCAUGUUUACAGAAUUCUGUAUUACAAGUAUUCUGUAUCUCUACAGGAUAAUCAGCUAUAUGGAUGAGGAAUACUUCUCAUCCUGUAGAGAUACGGAAUACUUUCUGUGCUAAAGGGAUGUGAUGUAAUCGUUGUAAUUGUUAAUGGAUGAACUUGCUGUCUCAAUUAGUCAUUAUUAUUUUCCUGUAUUAUUGUGUAUUUAAAUUCUAGAGUUAUCUCAAAUAGUACUCCCAAAGUUUUUAUAAAAAUACCCCUAACAAACAUACAAGUAAUUAGUAAGGAAAUAGUAAUGGGAGAGGUCAGAAUUUUUAAUUGUGUUCUGUGAAAAUUAAGAAGAGUAAGGCAAGCAGUCUGGUGAGAUUCUUGUAACAUAGGUGAUAAACAACAAAGUUACAACCUGAGUUGGAGUUCAACCUGGGUUAUAGUAUUGAGACGGGAUUGGUUGUGUUUGUGGAUCAGAGUGAGGUGGUAAAUUCAUCCUUGAUCUCAUAGGUCUCUCAAUGGCUUUUAAUAGCAUCAGUUAUGGUGUCUUUCUGGACUUGCCUAAGGGAUUAGAAGCAAGUAAUUGUUUUGUGCUUCUUCUAGUGCUGGUUCCAUUUUGACCUGGGAGAGGGUCUAAUCCUAUGCUUGUUCUAGUUGGGUGCCUCAGGGCUUGGUUCUCUUUCCACUCCUAUUUAAUAUUUGUAUGAAAUUGCUGGAUGAGGUCAUCCAUUGGCACCAUUGGGAGUGAGAUAUCAGUAUGCCGAUGAUACUGUCAAGCGUAAACAAUCAGCUCCACACACACAGGUCCAAUUUACUACUUUAUUGCUCAAGCUUAUUCACAGAAAUCUUUUCAAACUAACAGUCUGCACCUGGGUAAAACUAGGUAAGGUUCAAUGGCAUUCAAGGAAGGCUGAACUUUAUCUUCUUGUGACUAAGUAGAGACUAAUUCCCACUUGAUUUCCCUCCCUGGUUCUGCCAGUCUCUCUCCAACAGAUACUGGAUUAUUAUCACUAUCCUUGAUUAGAUAAAUAAAUGCUGUUGAGUGCUUGCCCAGUGGCUAUAUGAGGCUGGAUGAGGAAGAACAGGCUGCCACUCUCCCCAAGACCCAGUGGAUUGGGGCCUUCUCCUGAUUCUAUAGAUUUUUCAUCUUUUAAUAUUCAGUAAGAUAGCAAUCCACUGAAUCCCACACAAUUUGGGAUUCUUCCUAGACUUAGGCUUCCUGUUUGAAUAGCUAGUGGCUGCAGAGGGGAGGAACAAAUUCAUUUUGUGUGCCACUCUAACAUUCCUGAAUUGUGAGGCCUUGGUUACAUUUGCUCAUCCCUUAGUCACUUCCUGAUUGAAUCACUGUAAUGUGCUCCAUAUGGGACUAUCCUUAAAAAUACUUAGAUGCUUCAUCUGGUCUAGAACCUAGUGGUGUGUGCAAUUUUGGGUGCACCAAGGUUUGCCUGGGUUACAUUGUUGUUAAAUGAGCUGCACUGGCUCCAAUUACGCUUACAGUUACAACUUAAAUCUUACAGUUUAAUAUCUUUAAGUCUUGCAUGGCACAGGGCCAAAUUGCUUGCAGGACUACCUAUCUCUGAGACUUCUGCCUAUCAACCAGUUCCAACAGGGCAAGUACCUGUCUAUGAAAUAGUGUCAUCUUGUGGGUCCAAGGAGUUAAGCCUUCUCUGUCUCAGUGCCUGCCCCAGGGAACAAUCCCCCACCGGAUCCAGAGGUGCUCUUCCAAAAGGCUGUGAAGACUUUGCUUUUCCCCAAAGAUAUGGCCAGGAUGUUAGAUGAAUCCAGUGUAAGUGUGGUUUGUCUGGGUGAGUUUAUAAGGCCUUUGUAAUUGUGCUGCGAUUCUUUUAAAUUCUGAUUAGAGUGGAGAACAUUAAUUUAUAGAAGUUAUGUUUUUCUCAUUAAUUGUUAUUAGCCAUUCAGAAUUCAUAUGUGAAAAGGUAAAUUUUCUAAAUAAACAAAUGUCAUAAUCCAUAACAGCAUGGUAUCAUUCAGCUUUAUACCAUCAAUAAAUUGAUAAAUCUAGAUAGAAUUCUUCUUUUGUGAGACAAAUUGUAGUUUUUUUUUGUUUAGUCAUUAUGAAUAAAAAAGAUUUUUAAAAAGGAAAUUAAUAUUAUAUUGUCACACCAUUAUAAAUUUAAACCACGUCUUCCCACCCUUUCUCCAGGUUUCUUUUAGAAAAUAUAAAAGGAAGCUUUUAUUGAUUUCCUCUAUCCCAUUUUCUCAAAUUCUAAGAACCAUAUAUUUGUUAAAUAACAAAUUGUGGUUUGCUGAGUAACUUUUGAAAUUUUAGGAACUUUAUUGGUGUCCUCACAAAAUAACUUCAGGCCAGUCAGGUAAACAAUCGUUUUAACUAAAGCAAGAUUGAUGAAGUUGCUGCUUCCCAUAUAAAGUUACUCUUUCUACAGAUGGUCACAUUUUCAAAUCAAGCAAUGAUCCACUGUUUUUAUUUUCCAGGAGAACCUAGGGGAAAUUUGCAAUAUAUCAUUUUCCCAUUUCUUUUUUUUAAAUUAAGAUAUCUUUAAAAUGUGAGGUUGAGCAAGGAGCUUGGUGGGUUCUUGGUGGGUCUAAGCAAUCAGUCUGGAUAAGAAAGCCUUGUUACUGUUUUGCCGUAGUAUAAGAAUCAGGUGCUUCUUUCAGUGAGGAUGUAUGAACAAGAACAAUAGCAACAAUAUCUGUCAACAGAUGACACAACAGUGAUUGGUCUCAUUCGAGACAAUGACGAAUCCGCAUAUAGACGAGAGGUCGAACGACUAGCCUUGUGGUGCAACCAAAACAAUCUGGAACUGAACACACUCAAAACCGUAGAAAUGGUGGUAGACUUUAGGAGAAACCCUUCCAUACUUCCACCUCUCACAAUACUUGACAACACAGUAUCAACAGUAGAAACCUUCAAAUUUCUGGGUUCUAUCAUAUCGCAAGAUCUCAAAUGGACAGCUAACAUCAAAAACAUCAUUAAAAAAGGACAACAAAGAAUGUUCUUUCUGCGCCAACUCAGUAAGCUCAAACUGCCCAAGGAGCUGCUGAUCCAAUUCUACAGAGGAAUUAUUGAGUCUGUCAUUUGCACCUCUAUAACUGUCUGGUUCGGUUCUGCAACCCAACAAGAAAAACACAGACUUCAGAGGAUAAUUAGAACUGCAGAAAAAAUAAUUGCUACCAACCUGCCUUCCAUUGAGGACCUGUAUACUGCACGAAUCAAGAAGAGGGCCGUGAAAAUAUUUGCAGAUCCCUCGCAUCCUGGACAUAAACUGUUUCAACUCCUACCCUCAAAACGACGCUAUAGAGCACUGCACACCAGAACAAGUAGACACAAAAACAGUUUUUCCCGAAGGCCAUCACUCUGCUAAACAAAUAAUUCCAUCAACACUGUCAGACUAUUUACUGAAUAUGCACUACUAUUAAUCGUUUCAUAGUUCCCAUCACCAAUCUCUUUCCACUUAUGACUGUAUGACUGUAACUUUGUUGCUGGCAAUCCUUAUGAUUUAUAUUGAUAUAUUGACCAUCAUUUGUGUUGUAAAUGUUGUACCUUGAUGAACGUAUCUUUUCUUUUAUGUACACUGAGAGCAUAUGCACCAAGACAAAUUCCUUGUGUGUCCAAUCACACUUGGCCAAUAAAAUUCUAUUUAAAAAAACACACUUUAAUGGAUUGCUAGAAAAAUGGCAAAACUGAAAGAUAGAGUAUGAAUCUGUCCUUUGAAUAACUCCUUUCGCUACCACAACUGAGCAUCGUAGACUGUGAAUAGAAACUUUGUAGUUCUGUGAGGCUGCCUCUCAAGUGGAUUAACAUCAGAAAGGAAUUAGACAAAGUUGAAAAUCUUUCCAAUACCAUACCAGCAACCUCUUGGCUAGUCCCGUUAUGAAAGAAAGGUGUUCCUUGCUUGGAGGCUUUUAUAUGAGAAAAAUGGAUCAUUUUGAGAAUGGGUCAAUUUGAAAAUGAGAUUGGAUCCAUAGGAUUUGAUUUAUGUAUUCCUCUUUCAUUUGGCACAUCAGAUUAAUCAAAGGUCUCAUCUAACGACUGAGAAGGCAAGUGAUUGAGAAGGCUGAAGGUAGUAGUGAUGUGGUCUGUAUGAUACGAUGAUGCAGAAGAUACAGCAAUGAAAGGUUGAUAAACCAGGGAAUGAAAAGAAAAGGUUAGGGAGUGUCAGGCUAUCCCCAGGGUUUUUUUGCUCUCUCCCAGAUGGAGUUUUCUUGGUUGCCAUGUUAGCAUCUCCAUCACGUCUUAAUGUGUUGAAGCUAAAUGCCAAAUCAAUAACUAAAGACUUCAUGGUUUGAUUCUGGAUGAAGUGGCAAGCAUUUUUAAGGUGCAGAAAAGAAUAUAAAACAGGUUUCUUUAACUUGGCUGAAAAGUUUUAAACUAUUUGUAUCUCUGGGCUUUGCAUCUCCUGAUAUUCUGUUAAUAUGUAAAGAGAUUUAGGAAAAGUAAAUACGUAAGAUCUGACUAUGUUAAUAGCCUAUAAAGUACUAUAGUAAUUUAGUGGUAUCUCUCUUUGCUUUCUCACUGAUCUGCUUUAGAAAAUUGGAAUGCUUUUAGAGAGUGGUCCUGCAGCAUUGCAGUUGUUGUGUCAUUUCAUAUUUAAAUUAUAUUUCUUCUAAGAAAAAUUGGAAUUAACGUUGGGAAGAAAUAUUGAAGUUAUGGAGAUAUAACCUCCAUACUUGCAUAUUUUAUCAAUUAUUAAGGUCUUUCUUCUCCGCCCCCCACAGUGAUUGAAGCAGCAGUUGCAAAAUAAAAGCCUCCUUAGGCCCUCCCCCUUCAAUUUUCUUUUCAGUUUGAUGUCCUUUUCCCAAUAGAUGGCGCUCUUAGAUAAUUUAAUAUAACACUAAAUAAAAGCUAUGAGAAUUAUUUUCAUCACUCAGUUCUCUUGUUUAAAAGGUAAAGAGGGUCAUACAUGACAGAGGCAAUACAGUAAUAUUAAACAAAAUACAAUUUAGUGAGAAAGAAUUGAAUUUUCUAUUUGGGAGAUGGUUCAUGGGUCUCUUCAAGGAAUUUACCAAUUCCUUUUCAAUAGUAAUGUGGAACUAAUUCAGUUAUUUUAGUCACCUGUCCUAUGGAGCCAGUUUAGAAGUCUUCAUCAUGGGCCAGAUUACAUUGUUACCUUCAGCAUUGUUUCAUUUAUAUAGCUGUGUUAUGGCUUGAUUCUUGUGAUAUUAAUAUUUUUCUUUAGGACUACAAUCUACACUGUUCUGUAAAAUAAAUAUAGUUCCCUCCUUUUGGAUUUUCUCUGUUUUUCAUUUUUGUUUGUUUGGUAUAUUUUUGUCCUUGAACGUUAGCAGAGCUUCAUGUAAUCCUUUUGGGUUUCUGGGUGUGCACAUGCUUUCAAGUCAGUUUUGAUGCCUGACAAUUGCCUGGACAGGUUCGUGCAGUUUUCUGGGCAAGAUUGGACAUGGUUUGCCAUUGCCUUCUGUCUAGGACUGAAUGAGUGACUGGUCCAAGGUCCUAUAAACUUAGUUGAAAUAUAAAUAAAACAUCAUCUAAUAUUUGUUUCAUUUCAUGAGAAACCCAUCCAAUUUAUGCUAGUUUGAAAAAGUUAUCCACCCCCCCCCCAGUUCAAUUAAUUUAACCAAAGGCACAAUGAAUUACAUUAGUUAUGAAUGCUUCAUUAAUCAGGGGUGGUUUGAAUCUGACAUAUAUAUCUCACAAACUUUGUUUCUCUUUAAUAUAGUGGAGUGUGUGUGUGUCCCAUAGACUCUAAUAGCACAUCAUGUGUUGGUCAGAAAUUUAUGAGAAUCUCUUGUUAAAAGCUAUUAAUUCUCAUCAGUCUGGAAGAGAUUAGAAAAUCUUUUCAAAGUCCCACAUUUAGAGUUAUAGUCUAAAACAGAAAAUAUUUUGGGCAGUAUGAGCCCUCUUAAAUUUACAUACAGAUACUUCAAUCCAUACAUGGAGUGCAAGGCAGAAGACAGGAACUAAAAACAAUUAGGUAAAAGCAAAUAUUACUACAAGAUACUAUGUUCAAGUUGAAAUUUGACCCAGGGGGAAAACUUAAAAUUUACAAAAAAAAUUGUGGUUGGCAAUAUUUUGAAACUCCAGCAGUGCUGUGAUUCAGUACCAUUUGUUUGUUUGCUAUGAGCCUGUUUUUACCUCUCUGCAGUCUCAUAAAUAUUUCUAAAUAUUAUUAGAAAAAGUAUAAAAUGUUUCUAGUAUUCUAUCUUUCAAAGAAAACUGACUGGGGAAGGUUCUCUGGUACUUUCUAUCAUGAGAAUAGCUUGAAUCUAUAUCUAAAUCCAGAGGAUCUUUUAUAAGGAAUUAAUCUGAUAUUUUUCCAGAGACUCUCCCCCUAUGUUAUUGUUGCUAUGAAAACAGUGAAUCCUCCCCAAAUCUAAGUGCUUGCUUUAUAAGACAUGGGCAUACAAACUGUAAUGCAUUGUCAAAGGAUUAUGUAAUGCUUACUCUACAAAUCUAAUUAUGCCAACUCUGCUAUGUUUUAUUAUUGCUACUUCAUAUAGGAAGACAGACUACUGCAUUUUAAAAUUUUCCAGGUAACACUCACAUAUGUGUAUAUGUGUAUACCACAUAUUUGGACCAUUUUGAGAGUGAGUUAUCAUACAGCAACAAUUUGUGCAUGUGUUGUGUGCCUUUGUGUGCUCUAACUACACUCUUAUGUGCCAGAUUAUGAUAAAUUGUUCAUGUCCCUUUUUAAUUACCUGCCCCUUCCUGUGUUAAAGUAGGUAAACUGGGAUUAAUAUUUAACUUUUCAGAGGCCACCCCCUGCUCAAAUACUCACUUCCCUGCCUACUCUACACAUCCCAGGUAUAUUGGAUGUUAGAUCAAUUGGAUGUUAGAUCAAUCAGUUAUUGAUUGAAUUAAAUAAUUAAUUGUAUCCUGCCUUUAAUAUUUUUACAAAUAACUCAAGGCAGUGAACAUAUCUAACAUGCCUUCCUCUAUCUAUUUUCCCUACAACAACCCUGUGAUGAGGGUUGGGCUGAGAGAGAGAAUGACUAUCCCAAAGUCACCAGUUUCAUGGGUAAGGCAGGAACUCAUGGUCUCCUGCUUUCUAGCGUGGUUAACCUCUAGAUCAAACUGGCUCUCAAAUCUUAUUCAGAUUAUUCAUAUUUUAUUCAAAUUAUGAUUAAAAAAUCUUAAGGUUCUGAUAAUAGUUGGGUUGUACGCCUUUUCAGAUCUUCAUAUUAAAUUAAAACCCAAAUGGCAUAGGACUAAGUUAUUUGUUGGACUGCCUAGCUCCAGUUAAAUCAUCCCAUGCCACACACUCUUCUAGGUUAAACAUGCUCCAGGUCCCUUCUCUGUACCAGACAGUGUCACCUAGGAAUCAAACUUGAUCUUUGAUAGCUCCACUGUUAUUGAAUGAUA